UACGUAGGGGGCAGGCGUUGUCCGGAAUCAUUGGGCGUAAAGCGCGUGUAGGCGGCCAGAAAAGUCCGCUGUGAAAACUCGAGGCUCAACUUCGAGCUGUCGGUGGAAACUUUCUGGCUAGAGUCCGGAAGAGGAGAAUGGAAUUCCUGGUGUAGCGGUGAAAUGCGCAGAUAUCAGGAAGAACACCCGUGGCGAAGGCGGUUCUCUGGGACGGUACUGACGCUGAGACGCGAAGGCGUGGGGAGCGAACAGG
rnacentral:rRNA from 1 species